rnacentral:rRNA from 1 species
AUUGAACGCUGGCGGCAUGCUUUACACAUGCAAGUCGAACGGUAACAGGCCUUCGGGUGCUGACGAGUGGCGAACGGGUGAGUAAUGCAUCGGAACGUGCCCAGAGGUGGGGGAUAACGCAGCAAAAGCUGUGCUAAUACCGCAUGUGAUCUGAGGAUGAAAGCGGGGAACAGGGCGGCAAUGUUUGCCCCCGCGCCUUUGGGCCGCCCGAUGUCAGAUUAGGUAGUUGGUGGGGUAAAGGCCUACCAAGCCGACGAUCUGUAGCUGGUCUGAGAGGACGACCAGCCACACUGGGACUGAGACACGGCCCAGACUCCUACGGGAGGCAGCAGUGGGGAAUUUUGGACAAUGGGCGCAAGCCUGAUCCAGCAAUGCCGCGUGCGGGAAGAAGGCCUUCGGGUUGUAAACCGCUUUUGUACGGAACGAAAAGGCUCUGGCUAAUACCUGGGGCUGAUGACGGUACCGUAAGAAUAAGCACCGGCUAACUACGUG